UACGUAGGUGGCAAGCGUUGUCCGGAAUUAUUGGGCGUAAAGCGCGCGCAGGUGGUUUCUUAAGUCUGAUGUGAAAGCCCACGGCUCAACCGUGGAGGGUCAUUGGAAACUGGGGAACUUGAGUGCAGAAGAGGAAAGUGGAAUUCCAAGUGUAGCGGUGAAAUGCGUAGAGAUUUGGAGGAACACCAGUGGCGAAGGCGACUUUCUGGUCUGUAACUGACACUGAGGCGCGAAAGCGUGGGGAGCGAAC
rnacentral:rRNA from 1 species